CAUAUUUUCAGACGGUGGGGCUGGGCUGGUUGGAGGCUGUGAGGAGCCAUAGCCUUUCAGGUGGCCCAGCCUGAGGGGUCUUCUGCUGGACCUUCCACAGGAAUUGCCAAGCCACAACCUGCUAAGGAAGAGGAUGUGUCGCCCAUAUCUGCCAUUGGACGAUUUCCCCAGGCAGAGGUCUCUGCCAUGGAAUUUAGGGCCAUCCUACAGAAGAUGACCUCAUCUCAACUACAUUUGGAAAGACACUUUCCCCAGAAAAGAAGUCUCCAGGCUUUAAAGUGCUAAAAGGAAGCAAUCUUGUCAUCACAAAGGAAGUUAGCCUUUGGAUGAAGCUGGCAACAUGGGAAACAGGAGAGAAAUAGGGAAAAACUGAAUCCUUGCUGGACUCCCUAUCUGAAGACCUUCGCCAGUGUACUUUUCUGUUAUACAACUCAGUCAAUGCUUUCACUGCUUAUGCCAAUUUGAGCCAAGUAUUCUGAAAGCUCCAGAUCAGAACAGAUCAGAGCAGAAAGCCAUCACAAGACCUCCACUAUGUGGCAGAAGCCAAUGUUUUGGAUAUAGGAGCCAGUUUCCUUGUCGUUCUGAAUCUUUUAUUUUCAACACUAAAUACCCCCAGCUCUUUGGGGAUUCUUUGUCCCAUCCCCAUAUAAUUACAGUUAAUGGCCUGUCCUUUGAAGUUCUUGAAACAAUUCUUGUUUGGGUCCCUUUCUUUUAAUUCUCUGCUUCCACAGUAGACCUGGCUAUAAUUGUCUAGUUUUCCAACUUUGAAUCUGAUAUAGACAAAAUAUAAAAACGUAUGAUAGUAGGUUUUGUCUCCCAGUUGAUGCAUUGUGGAAGUAAGGCCAGGCCUGGGUUUUGACCUAGAAGUCUUGGUUGAGGCUCCUGUGUGGUGAGGGCAGAUCUAACAUGUGAGCACUUGGCAGUGUGUGGGUAAGAGGUAUCUUUGCUCAGCACCAGGGGUUGUGAGGUGUUGCGGGGUGAAUGGCUUCAGCUGCUGUGAGGAGAAGCCUCCCUCCAUCAUUGACCACACCUGUCAUUGGCAUGGAAGGCACUCUGCAAUAUGUCACGCCUUCUUGAGAAGCAGCCAGUAGGCUUGUCCUCAGUGUCUCAACUGCAGAUAGGCAUAUUUUUCCACAUUGCAGGAUUAUAAGCACUCCUGGGUGGCACCUUUCCAGGCUCUGCUUCUGUCCACUCUAUCCCUGCAUCCCUUCUUGUGCUGAGGGGUCCACACCCAGGCUCUUAGCAGAUGCUUAAAUGGGGCUGCAGAAAAUCCAGGCCUUCUCUUACCUUCUCAGCCUCUACCACCUUCUCACACUCAGAUGCCACACCCUGGCCCAUCUGGGUUCUGCCCCUGCUAGCCUUUCCGACUUAAGCAUUCCCUUUGCCUGCCCCAAUCACAGAAGCCAAUUAAUUGAGCUUAAGCUCAAGAUCCUAUCUUCCCAGACAUAUGCUUUGACUGCUUGAUUUCAUACCCACCCCCCCAUCCCUGAGCCCCUCUCCUAUCCGAUGCUGCUUUGCUCUACCUGAGAUUGCCUUGUUCAGGAGCCUAGUCAACCAGGGAGACCCAGAGAUCCAUGAGUUCUGUGGAACAGCAGCUACCUGCUCCACUCAGUAUAGGGGCUAUGAAAGAUGCCAGAGCUGAAACCCUGUCUGCUGUCACUUAGAGCAUCUUUGUCAGGGAUAGGACAGGACAGGCCUGGGGUCCAUGGGUUACAUUCCCAGGGAAGGAGUAUGUCACUGGCAAUGGGUUGUUUCUGGUAAUUUCUUAGGGCAGUGUGUAUAUCAUGUCUUCUUCGUUCUGCAGAAAUGUUGGCCACUAUGGAUGAAUUGUAGGAAAACCAGACAAGAUUUGUAGCAUUUUCAAACUGCUCUUAGGACACUAGAUUUCCUAGAUACUCUAAAAAUAAGGGGGUGAGGAUGGGAGUGAGUUAUUGAAUACAUUUUAAAACAUUUAUUAGUCUAUUCCCUUUUGAAAUUCCUACAGUAAAGAAAUCAAGUUAACUCUGUUUAACUCAGAGUUCAUAAAUUUAAUUGGCCAUGAAAUCCUCCCUCUUGCGGAAGAGCUAUCAAUAUCACAGAGAAGUAUCUGUGAAAUGUCAUUUGGGAAACACUAGUUUGACGCCUCUUUAGGAGAUCACAUCCAUUUCUUCGAUAUCAUCAGAGAUCUAUGAUGCUGUCUACUGAUAUGCCUUCCAAUUCAAUUUGAUAAACAUUUAUUAAGUACCUUCUAGAUACAGAUGUUGUGUUAAAUAGUGUGGGGAAGAUAAAGGAUGCUUUUCGAAACAUAGAGCCUGUAACAGAAGAUAAGUGAAGAAGAAAAAUAUCUCUAGAACAAAACUAAGUAGUAUUAUUAUCAUUA